AGCAAUAAAGAGAAAGUCCAGGAGCGACACGCCCCUGCGGCAAUCAAAAAUACAUCGCCGUUCAGUGUUUCCGUUCGCUCAGCCGAAACGUGAGAUCGAUCCUGUCAUAGCUAGUCAAACCAAGUUCGUGUACGUAUGUUCCUAGACGUGUGUACGUGCACUGUUCCUGAAGAUCAAUCAGGCUGCCUGCUUGCUAGCUUUGAAGCUAGCUUUGCACGUAGGCGUGAGCGUCUCUGGGUAAUUUGAUCUAGCGGUGUUCAAAAGCCAACAGCGGCGGCAAGCAAUCCCAUCCGCGGAAGGCCAUUGCUACAGAUGGAUCCAAAUAAAUUUACCUGGCAUGUUUUCCUGAUUUCCUACUGAUGCUCUUAUGUCAUAAGGCGCUGGAGCAUAUCAUUGAUUUCCUUUGUUCGGCCAUAUGAAUUCUUAUGAUGAGAUUGGACUCUUUAUAGACAGGAAUCACUAACAAACAUAGUUGAAUGAAAACGUAUGUGCUACUAUAUUUUUUAAUGGAUUAUGCCCGAUGGGGCUAGCGCAAAGAUGGAUGUCUUAUUAUGUACUUAGAAUCAACAUAUUGCUAUAUCAUGAUUGGCCUUUAUGCCCAGGAAAUAUUAAGUCAGCCUAAAUUGAUCUUAGGAUGUAGUAUAUAUGGUUUACGAUCCAAGAACUGGUAUUUUUCAGUCAAUUUU